UAUUUCAUUUGAUGUGAAAUUAAAAAAUUCGCUAGCGGAAUUUAAAGUGCAGGGCGCCGCAGCAACUCUACUGCUUGCACUUCGCGCGGCUGGUUAUUUACCAAAUUUGUAAUUUCAUCCAAGCGCGCAAUAAAGAUUCCAGCUGGGAAGAGCAAGGAGGGACAGGAGGGGCAGGAGCGGCUGGUGUUGCUGCUUGCAGCGUAAGCGGCAACGGCAAGAGAAAAAGCGAAAGUGGGGGCGGGAGCUGGUGAAGCACAAGCAUGCAGGAUCAGGCAGGAUCGGGAACAACGCGUAAGCAGCCAAAGCCAACGGUCAAACGGCAGAAAGAGAAUAGCUUGUGACAGUGUGACACACUCGCGCAUUCACGGCCAGUUCUUUACGCAUAAUUACGUAAGCAAUCCGCUAAUUAACACCGCUGUGAGUGACUGCACGACCCGCGGAAACCCUUCUGGAUUUACGCGUCCCGCGGCUGUGUGUUUAGACCCGUCAUCAUCAACAAUCUGCCGCAUUUCGGUGUGAACUCGUUUUGCAGAUUGCAAAUUGUGAAAUGGCAACUUCCAUCGAAAUGGCCCUGCCGCGCCAGCAUCUUCCAUGUGAAAGGAACCCCAUUGAGGCUCCUGCGCUGAUUGUGAGGGACGGACCUCUUUUGGAGCGAAACCCUGGGAUAAAAUGGUUCGAUAUUUCUGGCAGAGUGGGCCCAAGAAGAAGAGGAGGAAAAAGUAGAGCAGCGGAUGAAGAAAGCAGCUGAUGAGGAAGAAGAUCAAGAAGAAUACGGAGCCGUCGGAGCCACGUGAGACAAUUUUGUAUUCGACUGAAUCGUCUUCGUUAUUGUGCCGACUGCUUCUGCUGCUCGUCGGAAGGCUCGGUUUGCACUCGAAAGGCGGUUCCAACCUCGCGCUCUCCCCCUCGCAGGGAGGGUGGUGGUUGUGGUCAUGGUUGUAAGGUCAAACUCUCCCCUUCCCCUAGAUGACCUAAACCACAACCACCAUCCUCCCUGCGAGGGUGAGAGCGUGUCAGAGCCAGGCUGGAAAUCUCUCGAGUACGAACCGAGCCCUCCGAAAAGAUAGCCGAGAGCUGCAGAAGCAGUUUAAAUUUUAUACUUAUCCCCAUGCUAACCAAUUGGAGGUUAUGAAAACAUUUAAUAUUGUACUUGCAUUUUAAUUUUAAUGUUCUAAUUAUGAAUUUAUUUUCCACAUAUUCAGUCAUUCACUUAAUAUAUUCUAUAUUCUUAAAACAAAUUGAUCAAUCAGAGUUAAAAACUUGAGCAGAGUUUAGUAGUUUAUGUUAAAAUAUAACAACGUAUUAAGCUAGUCUUUUAAGGAACGUUCGUUUGCUUAGGUCUGCAUGUUCAUUUCAUUACUGAAAGGAUGUUGUGCCGAAUGCCUCGCUGCUCGUCGAAGGGCUCGGUUCAUGCUCGAAAGGGAGUUCAAACCUGGCUCUCGCACUCCCACCCUCGCAGGGAGGGUGGUGGUUGUGGUUUCGGUUGUUUAUGGGGGAGUUUGAUCUCGGUCAAAGUCAAAAUACCCCCUAAUUGAAAAUUACCCUAAAUACUCUCGAGAAAAUUCACCCUUAACUAUUUGUUCCGCAAGUGGGGAAUCAAAAUUGAGGUCAAACUCUCCCUUAGACGACCGAAAUAACAACCACCACCCUCUUUGCCAGGGUGAGAGUGCGAGAGCCAAGUCGGAACCCCCUCUCGAGUGCGAACCGAGCUCUUCGACGAGCUAGCCGCGAGCAGUAGAACAAAUGUAUGCGAAUAUUAAUUGUUAUUGUAUAUGUAAAAUGGUCAUUAUUUGCUGAAAAUAAAUAUAUUUAAUGCAAAAUUAAAGCCUAGUUUCAACUCGUUCCA